CCCUUAGAUGUUCUGGGCCGCACGCGCGCUACUCUGAUGCAUUCAACGAGUUUCUUCCUGGUCCGAGAGGAAUGGGUAACCUUUUGAAAGUGCAUCGUGAUAGGGAUAGACUAUUGCAAUUAUUGGUCUUCAACGAGGAAUUCCUAGUAGACGUAGUUCAUCAGACUGCAUCGAUUACGUCCCUGCCCUUUGUACACACCGCCCGUCGCUCCUACCGAUUGAAUGCUCAGGUGAGCCAUUCGGACUUUCAUCAUGCUGGUUUCCAGUUUUGAUGAAGGAAAGUCUUGCGAACCUUAUCAUUUAGAGGAAGGAGAAGUCGUAACA
rnacentral:rRNA from 1 species